rnacentral:rRNA from 1 species
AUACGGAGGGUGCAAGCGUUAUCCGGAUUUAUUGGGUUUAAAGGGUCCGUAGGCGGACUCGUAAGUCAGUGGUGAAAUCUCAUAGCUUAACUAUGAAACUGCCAUUGAUACUGCGGGUCUUGAGUAAAGUAGAAGUGGCUGGAAUAAGUAGUGUAGCGGUGAAAUGCAUAGAUAUUACUUAGAACACCAAUUGCGAAGGCAGGUCACUAUGUUUUAACUGACGCUGAUGGACGAAAGCGUGGGGAGCGAACAGGAUUAGAUACCCUGGUAGUCCACGCCGUAAACGAUGCUAACUCGUUUUUGGGCUUUCGGGUUCAGAGACUAAGCGAAAGUGAUAAGUUAGCCACCUGGGGAGUACGUUCGCAAGAAUGAA